AUUUACUUUUUCGCUAAAUAAUUUCGUCUUUUACUUUUGUUUUUCUUUUCCCUUUCAAAUUUCAGCCGUUUCAUCUUCUUUUCUUCAUUUUUCUUGUAUCCCGCUAGGGUUCAAGAGCAAUCUGAAAGGUUCUUUUCUGUCGAAUUUAAAUUUUAUGCAAAGGAAACGAUGAUUUGAAGGAUUAAUUGUUGGUUAGAAAUCAAAAUGCAUGAAUAUGUUAGAAUAGGCUUUGUCGUUUUAGUCAUUUGUUUAUCUUUCAACAAAUAAUGGUUUUGCUUUAUCAAAAAUUUCGACGAAGCAAAAGGUAAAUAAAAUAAAUAACAAUUUAUGGGAUUCGUAAUUAAAUUAGGGUUUAGGAACAUCACAUUUUUGUUGUUGGAAUGAAUUCUGUGGCUAGUUUUCUUUUCCUGGAAAGUUGGGGAAAAGAAUUGGUUCGGCUAACUAACUUUGGAAUUUAAAAGGUCAGCAUUCCUAGUUUUCGAUCCGUGAAUGGGGUCAGCAGAGCAAGACGAGUAUGCUGCCUUUGAAGAGAAAGUAAGGCGGACGGUUUACAUAGACAACCUGUCACCGAAUGUCACUGAAUCUGUGGUGAGAACUGCCCUUGAUCAGUAUGGAACUGUCAAGAGUGUUCACUUCAUUCCGAACUAUCUAGAGCCACAGAACAUCCCCCAAUGUGCUUUGGUGGAGAUGGAAACACAAAAGCAAGCUGAAGUUGUCAUCUCAACAAUAUCUCAAUUCCCUUUCAUGAUGUCUGGAAUGCCAAGGCCUGUGAGGGCACGUGCUGCUGAAGCGGAGAUGUUUUCUGAUCGCCCUAGGCAGCCUGGUAGAAGGAUACAUUUCCGCUGGUUGGACCCUGCUGAUCCUGAUUUUGAGGUUGCAAACAAGCUGAAGCAUCUUGCAAAAAGACAUGCUACUGAAACUGCAGUGAUGCUCAAGCACCAACUGGAGAAAGAGGAGAAGCUUGCGAAGCAGCAAGGAGAGGCUCUGAAAGCAAAUUACAAGAAGUAUGAGAUGAUAGAUAGUUUGAUGGCUGAUGGAACUGCUCAACGUUUGGCACGGCAUUAUAAUUUGAGAGUUUCAGAUGACUCAGGCCCUUCUACCUUUCACUGACAAGUAACCAAUAUAUGCACUAAUAUAAGCACAAAAUCACAACUAUAAUAUACUCAGAGUAUGUCCCAUAUAGAAUCAGGGCUGUGCAUGCUUUCUCUCAUCCUUUGAAGAGGCAAUGCAGUGUAAAACUCCUUCAUUUAACCUUUCCCCCUCCUUACCUGUAUCCUUAAAGCAUUGGUAAGGAUUCUUUCAUCUUGUCAAAAAUUUGAUUGGGGGAAACAGGUGGCAAGUGCCUAUUCAAUUUGAUUAGCUGAUGUAAAAACAAGGUUUAACUUUACUAAUUUAUCAGCAUAUGAUAUUGUCAUAUAUCAUAAUGAUUAUAAGUGACAGUGUAAUCAAAAUUCUUUAAAUUUUGGAAUGGGGUUUUACCUUUGAUGCAAUUAAUGGUUGAUGUCUACAAAGGAUGCUAACCUAUAUGGGAUUGAAAAUUCUUAGGUGUUUGGAUAAUGUUGGAUGCUGUUCAAUUAAACUGAUUCUUAUUGGCUUUGAUUAAUGUUUUAUAUUUAUCUUUCUUUGGGUUGAGAGGGGGAAUUUGAACUUGAUAUCUCCUUUUUAAAGGCAUGGUUGCUGAUAGGCUAUUGUGUUGGCCAUCGUGAAUAUUUUGUUAAAGUAGAUUUCUAUUUAGAAGGAAGACAAAAAAACUUAUAACGCGUUCAAUAUGUAAAUAGCUCUGGAAAGCAACAAAUUUCAAAGACAACCCCAGUGAGUGUCAAUCAUUGUUCACCCUUUCUUUAGCCCGAUCUCCUCUAUUUCAAAUCUUUUCAAAAUUAAAAUCCUCAUUUCUGUGAUAUUCAUGCACAUAUAUCAUCAAACAGAAACAAGUGUGCGUAUCAUUGAAAAGUUUGGGCUUUUUGAGUUGAAAUUGUGGUUGAUUUGGUGAAGAUUUGCAGAUAGUUUGAGCAUAAGUAAGGUUUGAUGGCUUUUAUGAGUUUUGGUUGGGUUUUUGUGUCUGUCUGGUGGGAUGAUACUGGGUUAGGUACUUAAUCUGUAAUUUGAUUUUCUCAAGAUGUUUUAUCUGCAAAUGAGUGUUUACUUGAAAAUUUAAUUAGUUGCUUUGCUGUAAUUCUCUUUGUUUGUAUUAAAUUUGUUCAUGAGUAUGAUUGAACCAAAUAAUGUACAUUUUGGCCACUGGUGACGGCCUUUUGAUGCUUUAUCCCUUUAUAUACUAUAGUUGUGAUGCUUACAUUUGUACUAUAUUUGUAUAUUAAUACUUUAAGAACACGUGAAGAAAUUUUGCCUGUGUUUAAUUUGGUUCUUUUUAAUAUUAAAUAUGAUCACGAUACGAAUAAUAUUCGUAUCUUAAAUUUGAAUAAUGUAUAUAUGUACGUUUAAUAAUUAUGUAACACGACACAAUAAGAUA